rnacentral:rRNA from 1 species
GUUGACACUCAAUCAUAUAUAAAACAGUUAAAAAAACUACUUACACACCAAUUUACUACUAACCUACAAAAUUACAAGUACUGAAAAGGAAAUAAUAUUAAUUUUAAGUAGUGAUAUCCCACGUACCUUGUGCAUUAUGGUUUUACAAGAUAAAAAUUAAAAAUAUUAUUCCCGAAUCCUACGCGAGCUGCUUCUAUAUAGCUAAGAGCCCACUACUAGUUGUAGCAACAACUUUAGAAAAUAUAUUAGCAGAGGCUACAUACCACACGCGCUAGAAAAUCGCUGGUUUUCAGUAAAACUUAUUAAUUAAAACAUGCAGUACCACUGCAAUGUAAGAUUUCAGAGGAUAAGCCCUGUAAUCCCAAGCUAUACUCCAAGCACCACAAUAACAUUAGGCCUAAAAACAGCCAUCACAAAUACUUCACCGUAUAAAAUAAUUCACAAUCGCUAAUUCUGCAUGCCCAAACUAACUGAAAUUUAGGAAAAACCUUAAACCCUAAAAUACUCUGUAAAAAUAAGUAUUAGAAAAAUAAAAAUAACACACUUAAAACAUAUUUCAUAAUUAACAACCAAACACUUAUAAAGGAACUCGGCAAAUUCUUAUUU